AUACAGGGUGACAGCCCCGUACACAAAAAUGCACAUGCUGUGAGCUCGAUGAGUAGGGCGGGACACGUGGUAUCCUGUCUGAAUAUGGGGGGACCAUCCUCCAAGGCUAAAUACUCCUGACUGACCGAUAGUGAACCAGUACCGUGAGGGAAAGGCGAAAAGAACCCCGGCGAGGGGAGUGAAAAAGAACCUGAAACCGUGUACGUACAAGCAGUGGGAGCACGCUUAGGCGUGUGACUGCGUACCUUUUGUAUAAUGGGUCAGCGACUUAUAUUCUGUAGCAAGGUUAACCGAAUAGGGGAGCCGAAGGGAAACCGAGUCUUAACUGGGCGUUAAGUUGCAGGGUAUAGACCCGAAACCCGGUGAUCUAGCCAUGGGCAGGUUGAAGGUUGGGUAACACUAACUGGAGGACCGAACCGACUAAUGUUGAAAAAUUAGCGGAUGACUUGUGGCUGGGGGUGAAAGGCCAAUCAAACCGGGAGAUAGCUGGUUCUCCCCGAAAGCUAUUUAGGUAGCGCCUCGUGAAUUCAUCUCCGGGGGUAGAGCACUGUUUCGGCAAGGGGGUCAUCCCGACUUACCAACCCGAUGCAAACUGCGAAUACCGGAGAAUGUUAUCACGGGAGACACACGGCGGGUGCUAACGUCCGUCGUGAAGAGGGAAACAACCCAGACCGCCAGCUAAGGUCCCAAAGUCAUGGUUAAGUGGGAAACGAUGUGGGAAGGCCCAGACAGCCAGGAUGUUGGCUUAGAAGCAGCCAUCAUUUAAAGAAAGCGUAAUAGCUCACUGGUCGAGUCGGCCUGCGCGGAAGAUGUAACGGGGCUAAACCAUGCACCGAAGCUGCGGCAGCGACGCUGAUGCGUUGUUGGGUAGGGGAGCGUUCUGUAAGCCUGUGAAGGUGUGCUGUGAGGCAUGCUGGAGGUAUCAGAAGUGCGAAUGCUGACAUAAGUAACGAUAAAGCGGGUGAAAAGCCCGCUCGCCGGAAGACCAAGGGUUCCUGUCCAACGUUAAUCGGGGCAGGGUGAGUCGACCCCUAAGGCGAGGCCGAAAGGCGUAGUCGAUGGGAAACAGGUUAAUAUUCCUGUACUUGGUGUUACUGCGAAGGGGGGACGGAGAAGGCUAUGUUGGCCGGGCGACGGUUGUCCCGGUUUAAGCGUGUAGGCUGGUUUUCCAGGCAAAUCCGGAAAAUCAAGGCUGAGGCGUGAUGACGAGGCACUACGGUGCUGAAGCAACAAAUGCCCUGCUUCCAGGAAAAGCCUCUAAGCAUCAGGUAACAUCAAAUCGUACCCCAAACCGACACAGGUGGUCAGGUAGAGAAUACCAAGGCGCUUGAGAGAACUCGGGUGAAGGAACUAGGCAAAAUGGUGCCGUAACUUCGGGAGAAGGCACGCUGAUAUGUAGGUGAAGCGACUUGCUCGUGGAGCUGAAAUCAGUCGAAGAUACCAGCUGGCUGCAACUGUUUAUUAAAAACACAGCACUGUGCAAACACGAAAGUGGACGUAUACGGUGUGACGCCUGCCCGGUGCCGGAAGGUUAAUUGAUGGGGUCAGCGCAAGCGAAGCUCUUGAUCGAAGCCCCGGUAAACGGCGGCCGUAACUAUAACGGUCCUAAGGUAGCGAAAUUCCUUGUCGGGUAAGUUCCGACCUGCACGAAUGGCGUAAUGAUGGCCAGGCUGUCUCCACCCGAGACUCAGUGAAAUUGAACUCGCUGUGAAGAUGCAGUGUACCCGCGGCAAGACGGAAAGACCCCGUGAACCUUUACUAUAGCUUGACACUGAACAUUGAGCCUUGAUGUGUAGGAUAGGUGGGAGGCUUUGAAGUGUGG
rnacentral:rRNA from 1 species